rnacentral:rRNA from 1 species
GAUGAACGCUGGCGGCGUGCCUAACACAUGCAAGUCGAGCGAUUUACUUCGGUAAAGAGCGGCGGACGGGUGAGUAACGCGUGGGUAACAUGCCCUGUACACACGGAUAACAUACCGAAAGGUAUGCUAAUACGAGAUAAUAUACUUUUAUCGCAUGGUAGAAGUAUCAAAGCUUUUGCGGUACAGGAUGGACCCGCGUCUGAUUAGCUAGUUGGUAAGGUAACGGCUUACCAAGGCGACGAUCAGGAGCCGACCUGAGAGGGUGAACGGCCACAUUGGAACUGAGACACGGUCCAAACUCCUACGGGAGGCAGCAGUGGGGAAUAUUGCACAAUGGGCGAAAGCCUGAUGCAGCAACGCCGCGUGAGCGAUGAAGGCCUUCGGGUCGUAAAGCUCUGUCCUCAAGGAAGAUAAUGACGGUACUUGAGGAGGAAGCCCCGGCUAACUACGUGCCAGCAGCCGCCGUAA